AUGGUCGCAAGGAGGGCCGCUUCCUCCUUCCUCUCACGCCGCGGCCUCCUCCUCCCGAGGCCUCCUGCCGAUUCUCUUCUCAGAGCAGACAGUGCACGGCGCUCGUUGCCCGGAGCCGUUUACAGGUUCAGCACCGCACCGGCCGCCACCGCCGACGAGGAGCCGAUCAAACCCCCCGUGGAGGUGAAGUACACGCAGCUCCUCAUCAACGGCAACUUCGUCGAUGCAGCAUCUGGAAGGACGUUCCCGACGGUGGACCCCCGCACCGGCGAGGUCAUCGCGCGCGUGGCCGAGGGCGACGCCGAGGACAUCGACCGCGCUGUCGCCGCCGCCCGCAGGGCCUUCGACGAGGGCCCCUGGCCGAGGAUGACCGCCUACGAGCGGUGCCGGGUGCUGCUGCGGUUCGCGGACCUGAUGGAGCGGCACAACGACGAGAUCGCGGCGCUGGAGUCGUGGGACGGCGGGAAGCCGCUGGAGCAGUCCGCCGGCGGGGAGGUGCCGAUGGCGGCGCGCUGCAUGCGGUACUACGCCGGGUGGGCGGACAAGAUCCACGGCAUGGUGGUGCCGGCCGACGGCCCGCACCACGUGCAGGUGCUGCGCGAGCCCAUCGGCGUCGCCGGCCAGAUCAUCCCCUGGAACUUCCCGCUGCUCAUGUUCGCCUGGAAGGUCGGCCCGGCGCUCGCCUGCGGCAACGCCGUCGUGCUCAAGACCGCCGAGCAGACGCCGCUCUCCGCACUCUACGUCGCCAGCCUCCUCCACGAGGCCGGCCUCCCGGACGGCGUCCUCAACGUCGUCCCCGGCUUCGGCCCCACGGCCGGCGCCGCGUUGUGCAGCCACAUGGGCGUCGACAAGCUGGCGUUCACCGGAUCGACUGGCACGGGCAAGAUUAUUCUUGAACUGGCGGCGAGGAGCAACUUGAAGCCGGUGACGCUGGAGCUCGGCGGCAAGUCCCCGUUCAUCGUCAUGGACGACGCUGAUGUCGACCAGGCCGUCGAGCUCGCGCACCGGGCGCUCUUCUUCAACCAGGGGCAAUGCUGCUGCGCUGGGUCUCGGACGUUCGUCCACGAGAGCGUCUACGACGAGUUCGUGGAGAAGUCCAAGGCUCGCGCCCAGAGGCGUGUGGUCGGCGACCCCUUCAAGAAAGGUGUUGAGCAGGGACCUCAGAUCGAUGGCCAGCAGUUCAAGAAGAUCCUGGGCUACGUCAAGUCGGGCGUCGACAGCGGCGCCACCCUCGUGACCGGCGGCGAGAGGGUAGGCAGCAGGGGCUUCUACAUCCAGCCGACCGUCUUUGCAGACGUGGAGGAUGAGAUGAAGAUCGCUCAGGAGGAGAUAUUCGGGCCCAUCCAGUCCAUCCUCAAGUUCAGGGAGGUGGGGGAGGUGGUGAGGAGGGCGAACGCGACGCAGUACGGGCUGGCGGCGGGGGUGUUCACGAGGAGCCUGGACACGGCGAACGCGGUGGCGCGGGCGCUGAGGGUGGGGACGGUGUGGGUCAACUGCUACGACGUGUUCGACGCGGCCAUCCCCUUCGGCGGGUACAAGAUGAGCGGCGUGGGGCGGGAGAAGGGCGCCUACAGCCUCGGCAACUACCUCCAGACCAAGGCCGUCGUCGCGCCCCUCAGGGACCCGGCUUGGUUGUAG
rnacentral:rRNA from 1 species